CUACGAAGGGGGCUAGCGUUGUUCGGAUUUACUGGGCGUAAAGCGCACGUAGGCGGAUUGAUUAGUUAGGGGUGAAAUCCCGAGGCUCAACCUCGGAACUGCCUUUAAUACUGUCAAUCUCGAGACCGGAAGAGGUGAGUGGAACUCCUAGUGUAGAGGUGGAAUUCGUAGAUAUUAGGAAGAACACCAGUGGCGAAGGCGGCUCACUGGUCCGGUACUGACGCUGAGGUGCGAAGGCGUGGGGAGCGAACAGGAUUAGAAACCCUAGUAGUCC
rnacentral:rRNA from 1 species